CCAAGCACGAGUCAGAAGGGAUUAUCUAACCAACACUAUCUGGCUGUUGCAGAGAAUAUCACGCGUCUAAAGUUGGAAAUCUCAACCGUUCAUUCGACUAAAACAACCCUAUAUAUAAUAACUGGUGCGUUUCCCCUAUUUUCAAUUCAGAAGUUCUCUCAUUCCUCUCGUACGUACCACGUCUCAAGAGUUCGGUUUUCCUAUUCGUGACCUGGUUUUGACAUGGAUCAGAUUCCGAUCUACUCGCCAAUCGUGCUUUUCCUACGAAUUGAUUUUCCAAGAUUUGAAGCCCGGUGUCACCGAUCUACCGUUCAGAGGUGUGAUGAUCGUGUUCGUGUUGCUUGUUUCGUGAAGGCUCGAUGAAUAUAGCGCAGAUCGCCAGAACAAAAUUACCAGGUGCAGCGCUUCAUAGUUGCCGUUCCUGUGUGGAGUUCUUCGCAUUCGGAUUUAAAGAAAUUAUAUGAGGAUUCUUGAGGGGAUAGGUUCGGUGUAUGUAGUAGUUUGAAUAUUUGGGGAUGAAGUGGUUAUGGAGAAUUUUGUCAAUCGACCUUUGCCAUGACAGGUGCGCUUGCAUGGCAGGUCAAUACAAAUUAAUAAAGAAAAAUUAUUUGUGGGUUUUGAGGGAGAUCGCACGGGAAUUCCCGGGUUCUCCCUCUGGUGUGGUGGUGUGUGUGUCUGUGUUCCUUUUCCUUCUUUCUCCCUUUCUUUAUAUUUUUCUUUUCCUCUCUCACUCUUUCUUGCGACGGAUACACCACCACUGGACUCGCUUCGUCAUCGAACUAACAAGGUAUCGUCUAAUUUAUCAAUUUAACUUUACCUUUACAAUAACGCCUUUCUUUUUUGGUAACAUAGUCAAUAUACUAAUAAAAACUAACAAAAUCAAUGCAAUUGCAAACAUUGAAACAAGUAACUCGUAUAUGAAAAAUUAAUCACUAUAGUUUAUCUCUCGAAAUGGUGAAUUAGUAAUUGAAGUGAUAUUAUGUUGUUAAUUAUAAUUUUUUGACCGUUUUCUUUUAUUUACUGGGAAUAUCUAACAGCUUGGAUGAUAGAUUCGUAACAACAACAUUGAUCCUCCGGUCGACUUCUGUAAUAACUAAUCAAAAGGCGAAACUACUAGUUAACACUUUAUUGAUAUUUUUUCAUCUGUUAACUUUUAAAAUUUUGCAACGCCAUUACUACGAGUAUCAUUUCCAGUUUGAGUUCUUAUCAUUAAUUGUAACCCACAAUCUGUUCUCCUUGACAUUUAGCAUUUCAUUUUCCCACAAUGCAUAGAUUUUUCUGUAGAUAUACUCGUUCGAUUGAAGUCUUCGCAGCCGGAAGGGUGUGAACAGUGUUUCAUCGUAUCAAAUAUUGCAGUGAUCUUCCUCAGCUUGACUAGAAAGAAUUGCAAGGUUUCAGGUGUUCAAAAGGCUAAAUUCAAGGGAACAUUUCAAAUAUAUGUUCUUAUUCAUCAAUAUUUUGAGGUAGCUUUCUAAAAUUUUAGUGAAUAAAGUCUCAUUGAUGGUUUUCGGUCUCUGGAAUAAUUCUGUUUGGCCUCUGGUUUAUGUUGUUGAUUAUGUUUUAUGGAUGGAAUGGGAUCACCAUAGAUUUUAUCUCUUACAUUUGAAGCUUAGUAAUGAUUUUUUU